rnacentral:rRNA from 1 species
GACGGAGGGUGCAAGCGUUGCUCGGAAUCACUGGGCGUAAAGGGUGCGUAGGCGGUCUCGCAAGUCUGGCGUGAAAGCCCAAGGCUCAGCCUUGGAAGUGCGCUCGAAACGGCGAGGCUGGAGUGCCGGAGGGGAGAGUGGAAUUCCCGGUGUAGCGGUGAAAUUCGUAGAUAUUGGGAAGAACACCGGUGGCGAAGGCGGAUCUCUGGGCCAUUACUGACGCUGAGGAGCGAAAGCGUGGGGAGCGAACAGG